GGGCCUAUAGCACAGUUGGUAGUGUGUCUGCUUAGCGUGCAGAAGGUCCGGGGUUCAAUUCCCUGUGGGUCCA